GAUGAACGCUGGCGGCGUGCCUAAUACAUGCAAGUCGAACGCAGUGGGGACGGGUGAGUAACACGUGGGUAACCUCCCAUCAGAGGGGAUAACACUUGGAAACAGGUGCUAAACCGAUACUGAUGGAUGGACCCGCGGGGCAGUAGCGAGUUGGGGGGGUAACGGCCGACCAAGGCCACGAUGCAGAGCCGACCUGAGAGGAUGAUCGGCGACACUGGGACUGGGACACGGCCCAGACUCCUACGGGAGGCAUCAGUAGGGGAUCUGCGGCAAUGGACGAAAGUCUUACCGAGCAACGCCGCGUGAGUGAAGAAGGUGUUCGGAGCGUAAAACUCUGUUGUUAGAGAUGCGGUAUCUAACCAAGAAGCCACGGCUAACUACGUGCCAGCAGCCGCGGUAAUAC
rnacentral:rRNA from 1 species